GACAGAGGUCUCGAGCGUUAGGCGGAAUCACUGGGCUUAAAGCGUGUGUAGGCGGACUGGUAAGUACUUUGUGAAAUCCCCCCGGCUCAACCGGGGAACUGCUUGGUAUACUGCCGGUCUUGAGCCACUUAGGGGCAGCUGGAACAAACGGUGGAGCGGUGAAAUGCGCAGAUAUCAGGAGGAACACCAAUUGCGAAGGCAGCUCGCUGGGACGUUACUGACGCUGAGGCACGAAAGCGUGGGGAGCAAAAGGG
rnacentral:rRNA from 1 species